AAUCUUCCACAAUGGGCGAAAGCCUGAUGGAGCAACGCCGCGUGAGUGAAGAAGGUUUUCGGAUCGUAAAACUCUGUGGUAAGGGAAGAACAAGUACAGUAGUAACUGACUGUACCUUGACGGUACCUUAUUAGAAAGCCACGGCUAACUACGUGCCAGCAGCCGUGGUAAUACGUAGGUGGCAAGCGUUGUCCGGAAUUAUUGGGCGUAAAGCGCGCGCAGGCGGUCAUUUAAGUCUGAUGUGAAAGCCCACUGCUCAACCGUGGAGGGUCAUUGGAAACUGGAGGAAUUGAGUGCAGGAGAGGUAAGUGGAAUUCCGAGUGUAGCGGUGAAAUGCGUAGAGAUUUGGAGGAACACCAGUGGCGAAAGCGACUUUCUGGUCUGUAACUGACGCUGAGGCGCGAAAGCGUGGGGAGCAAACAGG
rnacentral:rRNA from 1 species